AGAUCUCCAUUGGUGUCAUUCC
rnacentral:miRNA from 1 species